rnacentral:misc_RNA from 1 species
UCAAACUUGGUCAUUUAGAGGAAGUAAAAGUCGUAACAAGGUUUCCGUAGGUGAACCUGCGGAAGGAUCAUUAACAAAUCUUAUUGAGGGCCUCAGGGCUCAUCAACCUUUGUGAAUCGACUUGCCACCAUAAAAAGUGGCAAGUUAGUUGGGUGCGGGCACAAGCAUAAGAGUUGACAUGUUUGGCUCUUGUGCUUAUCAUAUAUAAUAUAGUCUAAUUACAAUUGGAUUUCGAAAGAUUUCUAGUAAAUUUAUGACAACUUUUAACAAUGGAUCUCUAGGCUCUUGCAUCGAUGAAGAACGCAGC